CGAGCGGUAACAUUUCUAGCUUGCUAGAAGAUGACGAGCGGCGGACGGGUGAGUAAUACUUAGGAAUCUACCUAGUAGUGGGGGAUAGCUCGGGGAAACUCGAAUUAAUACCGCAUACGACCUACGGGAGAAAGGGGGCAACUUGUUGCUCUCGCUAUUAGAUGAGCCUAAGUCGGAUUAGCUAGAUGGUGGGGUAAAGGCCUACCAUGGCGACGAUCUGUAGCUGGUCUGAGAGGAUGAUCAGCCACACCGGGACUGAGACACGGCCCGGACUCCUACGGGAGGCAGCAGUGGGGAAUAUUGGACAAUGGGGGAAACCCUGAUCCAGCCAUGCCGCGUGUGUGAAGAAGGCCUUUUGGUUGUAAAGCACUUUAAGCAGUGAAGAAGACUCUUCGGUUAAUACCCGGAGACGAUGACAUUAGCUGCAGAAUAAGCACCGGCUAACUCUGUGCCAGCAGCCGCGGUAAUACAGAGGGUGCAAGCGUUAAUCGGAAUUACUGGGCGUAAAGCGAGCGUAGGUGGCUUGAUAAGUCAGAUGUGAAAUCCCCGGGCUUAACCUGGGAACUGCAUCUGAUACUGUCAGGCUAGAGUAGGUGAGAGGAAGGUAGAAUUCCAGGUGUAGCGGUGAAAUGCGUAGAGAUCUGGAGGAAUACCGAUGGCGAAGGCAGCCUUCUGGCAUCAUACUGACACUGAGGCUCGAAAGCGUGGGUAGCAAACAGGAUUAGAUACCCUGGUAGUCCACGCCGUAAACGAUGUCUACUAGUCGUUGGGUCCCUUGAGGACUUA
rnacentral:rRNA from 1 species